GGGCCCGCACAAGCGGUGGAGCAUGUGGUUUAAUUCGAUGCAACGCGAAGAACCUUACCAGGGCUUGACAUACUACAGAUUCUUUAGAGAUAGAUUGGUGCCUUCGGGAACGCAGUGACAGGUGCUGCAUGGCUGUCGUCAGCUCGUGUCGUGAGAUGUUGGGUUAAGUCCCGUAACGAGCGCAACCCUUGUCCUUAUUUGCCAUCAUUUAGUUGGGCACUCUAGGGAGACUGCCGGUGACAAACCGGAGGAAGUGGGGACGACGUCAAGUCAUCAUGGCCCUUACGACCAGGGCUACACACGUGCUACAAUGGGGCGUACAAAGGGUUGCAAUCCCGCGAGGGGGAGCUAA
rnacentral:rRNA from 1 species